rnacentral:rRNA from 1 species
UAUCGUUUAUUUGAUAGUACCUUACUACUUGGAUAACCGUGGUAAUUCUAGAGCUAAUACAUGCUAAAAACCUCGACUUCGGGAGAGGUGUAUUUAUUAGAUAAAAAACCAAUGCCCUUCGGGGCUCUUUGGUGAUUCAUAAUAACUUAACGGAUCGCAUGGCCUUGCGCCGGCGACGGUUCAUUCAAAUUUCUGCCCUAUCAACUUUCGAUGGUAAGGUAUUGGCUUACCAUGGUUUCAACGGGUAACGGGAAAUUAGGGUUUGAUUCCGGAGAGGGCGCCUGAGAAACGGCGGCCACAUCCAAGGAAGGCAGCAGGCGCGCAAAUUACCCAAUCCCGACACGGGGAGGUAGUGACAAUAAAUACUGAUACAGGGCUCUUUAGGGUCUUGUAAUUGGAAUGAGUACAAUUUAAACCCCUUAACGAGGAACAAUUGGAGGGCAAGUCUGGUGCCAGCAGCCGCGGUAAUUCCAGCUCCAAUAGCGUAUAUUAAAGUUGUUGCAGUUAAAAAGCUCGUAGUUGAACCUUGGGCCUGGCUGGCCGGUCCGCCUCACCGCGUGCACUGGUCCGGCCGGGCCUUUCCUUCUGGAGAACUGCAUGCCCUUUACUGGGUGUGUUGGGGAACCAGGACUUUUACUUUGAAAAAAUUAGAGUGUUCAAAGCAGGCCUUUGCUCGAAUACAUUAGCAUGGAAUAAUAGAAUAGGACGUGCGGUCCUAUUUUGUUGGUUUCUAGGACCGCCGUAAUGAUUAAUAGGGAUAGUCGGGGGCAUCAGUAUUCAAUUGUCAGAGGUGAAAUUCUUGGAUUUAUUGAAGACUAACUACUGCGAAAGCAUUUGCCAAGGAUGUUUUCAUUAAUCAGUGAACGAAAGUUAGGGGAUCGAAGACGAU